GGGAAGGGGAGGGAGAGAGGGCUAGAAAUCUGUUCUAAGUCUGGUUUUAUUUAAUGUCUAUCUACGAUCUGGAAGGAAGCAGUAAACACCACAUUCAUUCAAUUUAUGUUUGAUGUAAUGACUCGUAUGAAUUAGAGGGGUGUUGUGUAAACCAAUGGGGACAGACACAAAACACAGAGAAACCUAGACAGGCUGGAAAUAACAAAGUGAGAGCCAAGUGGAUGGGCAAAAGACAACGAUCUGCAGGAGGAAGCACAGCCUAAAGUGCAGAUAUGAAGCGGAGAAAUGUGCUUAAAGAAGGGAGACAGAAGGUCCUAAUAAUGGCUGAGUCCAGCAAACUGGCUGUGAGCUUGUGGAACAGAGUCAUCCCAAAGGAAGACAGAGGGAUCUGCAACAUAUCUUCAGAGCACAGUUCCCAUAACAGUGACUAUUCACCAGGUUGCAGCUGUCAGGGUUUCCAGAAGAGCAGUCACCAUCUGCAAAAAGUUCUGAGUUAAGUGAGCAGCCCAUCAUUUCAUAGGAAUGAUGUUCAAGAUAAUAACAACAAAAUACAUAAUAGCAACAAAGUCCAAUACCAGGACAACACGCAGUUUCCCAAACCACAGUACAAUCCUUUCCUAUCUUGAAAUCCUCCACCAUCACCCUCCAAAUUCCGCAGUUUCUGAAUGAGGUAACCAUGAUUCAUCCCACAGCAGGUCCAUCCUGUGCAGUGAAGAAAAACCACAAAAAAACCUCAGUCUGUGGUCACACGAUUAUAAACUGUAUGACAAUGCACACAAUGGACCUGAAUUAUGGCAGCUUUAGUUCUGGCUUGCUCUGCCUUGGCUUGACGGUUACGGUGUUCUUUUCUUAUGGGUUUAUUUUUUUACAGUUUCAAAUAAUUCCUUAGGUUUUUACAAAAGCAAACUGGAAAGAUAAAUUCCUCGUAUGGAACCAGCUGAUCCGCAGCUGGGUAAACAGCAGAACUGGAACUCUUAUAUCCUCUGCACAUUUCAGCAGGUCUAUGGAGAUAUCCUGGCAGAGUUGCUAAUAACAACACAUUAAAUACCAUCUUCAGGUGGCAUUUACAUUUACAUAUCUUCAGACAUGGUUUAAGCAUUCCAGAAGGAAACAAUGGUACAUCCUCUUUUCUUGAAAAAAGAUAUUCCUCAAACAGACUUUUAUCUCCUUCUGUCACUUCAGCUUCUUUCCCUCAGGUUUUGUUAUUUUUAUAGCAUAACAGCCUGCUAACUAUCCCCUAGUUAGACUAAAAUAAAGUCACGUUGUUAAAAGUGGGUCAUUUGGCUACAUCUGUCUGCACUGAUGCCAGGGACAAAUAACCCAUGGUGGACAGGAAAUUUAUUCCUGAAGCUGUGCUCAGUUCCUGUGCUGAUUUCUGAACCUGAAGUAAAACCAAGAGCAUAGAUUUCAGUUCUGAUCUUCCACACGUUUUAUGUACAUCCAACUCCACUGAAUCCUGCAUAGUUGUUUCCAGAUAACUAACACCAGUGGGUACACUAGUAAGUAAAAAUAGGUUUGUAUAAAUGCAUUUUAUCAUUUAAGUAUGGCCAGUUUCCCAUGUUAAAAGAUCAUACAUGAUCUAAUACUUAUAUCUACGCAAUAAGGCCCA
rnacentral:lncRNA from 1 species